GCUGAGUUACCAGCACGUAAAGGUAGGGGACUCUCAGUGGACUGCCGGCGACAAGCCGGAGGAGGGUGGGGACGGACGUCAAGUCAUCAUGGCCCUCCAUGUCCACGGGCGACACACGUGCUACAAUGGCCGGCACAACGGAAGCGACGGCGCGAGUCGUAGCGGAUCCCCUCAAAGCCGGUCCCAGUUCGGAUUGCAGUCUGCAACUCGACUGCAUGAAGCCGGAAUCGCUAGUAAUCGUGGAUCAGCCAAGCCGCGGUGAAUACGUUCCCGGGCCUU
rnacentral:rRNA from 1 species